rnacentral:rRNA from 1 species
CCCUUAGAUGUUCUGGGCUGCACGCGCGCUACACUGAUGCACUCAACGAGUUUACGACCUUGUCCGAGAGGAUUGGGUAAUCUUUUUAGAAUGCAUCGUGAUGGGGAUAGAUUAUUGCAAUUAUUAAUCUUCAACGAGGAAUUCCUAGUAAGCGCGAGUCAUCAGCUCGUGCUGAUUACGUCCCUGCCCUUUGUACACACCGCCCGUCGCUACUACCGAUUGAAUGGCUUAGUGAGCCUUUGGGAUUGGCAGCCAACACCGGCAACGGUAGCUGGCCGCCGAAAACUUAUGCAAACUUGGUCAUUUAGAGGAAGUAAAAGUCGUAACA